AAAAUAAAUAAAUAAAAGAAAAAAUCUUGGACUUGGACCUCUCUCAUUUGAGCCCACAGGUCCACAAAAAUCAGGUUAUAAAUUCAGAGUUUCAGUGAAACAAAAGGCCAUUCUAUUCCUAUUACCCUGUCUGGGAAAAAGAUAGUGAGAGAAGAACCCUGGGGAAAAAGAUAGUGAGAGAAGAGCUAACAGAGUUCAG
rnacentral:lncRNA from 1 species